rnacentral:rRNA from 1 species
AGAGUUUGAUCAUGGCUCAGAUUGAACGCUGGCGGCAGGCCUAACACAUGCAAGUCGAGCGGGGUUUUCGGACCUAGCGGCGGACGGGUGAGUAAUGCGUAGGAAGCUGCCCGAUAGAGGGGGAUACCAGUUGGAAACGACUGUUAAUACCGCAUAAUGUCUACGGACCAAAGUGUGGGACCUUCGGGCCACAUGCUAUCGGAUGCGCCUACGUGGGAUUAGCCAGUUGGUGAGGUAAUGGCUCACCAAGGCGACGAUCUCUAGCUGGUUUGAGAGGAUGAUCAGCCACACUGGAACUGAGACACGGUCCAGACUCCUACGGGAGGCAGCAGUGGGGAAUAUUGGACAAUGGGCGCAAGCCUGAUCCAGCCAUGCCGCGUGUGUGGAGAAGGCCUUCGGGUUGUAAAGCACUUUCAGCGAGGAGGAAGGGUGGUGUGUUAAUAGCACAUCAUUUUGACGUUACUCGCAGAAGAAGCACCGGCUAACUCUGUGCCAGCAGCCGCGGUAAUACAGAGGGUGCAAGCGUUAAUCGGAAUUACUGGGCGUAAAGCGCACGUAGGCGG